rnacentral:rRNA from 1 species
UGCCAGACUCCUACGGGAGGCAGCAGUGAGGAAUAUUGGUCAAUGGGCGAGAGCCUGAACCAGCCAAGUCGCGUGAGGGAAGACGGUCCUAUGGAUUGUAAACCUCUUUUGCCGGGGAGCAAAAAGCGGUACGUGUACCGCAUCGAGAGUACCCGGAGAAAAAGCAUCGGCUAACUCCGUGCCAGCAGCCGCGGUAAUACGGAGGAUGCGAGCGUUAUCCGGAUUUAUUGGGUUUAAAGGGUGCGUAGGCGGUUUUUUAAGUUAGUGGUUAAACGUCGGGGCUUCACCUUGAUUUGCCAUUAAUACUGUAAGACUCGAGUUCAGACGAGGUAGGCGGAAUAAGUUAAGUAGCGGUGAAAUGCUUAGAUAUAACUUAGAACUCCGAUAGCGAAGGCAGCUUACCAGGCUGCGACUGACGCUGAAGCACGAGAGCGUGGGUAGCGAACAGGAUUAGAUACCCUCGUAUAU